AACGAACGCUGGCGGCAGGCCUAACACAUGCAAGUCGAGCGCGCCUUCGGGUGAGCGGCGGACGGGUUAGUAACGCGUGGGAACGUACCCUUUUCUACGGAAUAGCCUUUGGAAACGAAGAGUAAUACCGUAUACGCCCUUUGGGGGAAAGAUUUAUCGGAGAAGGAUCGGCCCGCGUUAGAUUAGAUAGUUGGUGGGGUAACGGCCUACCAAGUCUACGAUCUAUAGCUGGUUUUAGAGGAUGAUCAGCAACACUGGGACUGAGACACGGCCCAGACUCCUACGGGAGGCAGCAGUGGGGAAUCUUAGACAAUGGGCGCAAGCCUGAUCUAGCCAUGCCGCGUGAGUGAUGAAGGCCUUAGGGUCGUAAAGCUCUUUCGCCUGUGAUGAUAAUGACAGUAGCAGGUAAAGAAACCCCGGCUAACUCCGUGCCAGCAGCCGCGGUAAUACGGAGGGGGUUAGCGUUGUUCGGAAUUACUGGGCGUAAAGCGCACGUAGGCGGAUUGGAAAGUUGGGGGUGAAAUCCCGGGGCUCAACCCCGGAACUGCCUCCAAAACUAUCAGUCUAGAGUUCGAGAGAGGUGAGUGGAAUUCCAAGUGUAGAGGUGAAAUUCGUAGAUAUUUGGAGGAACACCAGUGGCGAAGGCGGCUCACUGGCUCGAUACUGACGCUGAGGUGCGAAAGUGUGGGGAGCAAACAGGAUUAGAUACCCUGGUAGUCCACACCGUAAACGAUGAAUGCCAGUCGUCGGGCAGUAUACUGUUCGGUGACACACCUAACGGAUUAAGCAUUCCGCCUGGGGGAGUACGGUCGCAAGAUU
rnacentral:rRNA from 1 species